CUUCCAGCAGGGUGACAGAUGAGAUGAGGUAGGUGCCAUCCUUCCAGCAGAGUGACAGAUGAGAUGAGGUAGGUGCCAUCCUUCGGUCAGGGUGACAGAUGAGAUAGGUGUCAUCCUUCCAGCAGGGUGACAGAUGAGAUGAGAUCGGUGUCAUCCUUCCAGCAGGGUGACAGAUGAGAUGAGGUAGGUGCCAUCCUUCGGUCAGGGUGACAGAUGAGAUGAGGUAGGUGUCAUCCUUCCAGCAGAGUGACAGAUGAGAUGAGGUAGGUGCCAUCCUUCAGUCAGGGUGACAGAUGAGAUGAGGUAGGUGCCAUCCUUCCAGCAGCAUGACAGAUGAGUAGAGAGAGGUGCCAUCCUUCGGUCAGGGUGACAGAUGAGAUGAGGUAGGUGUCAUCCUUCCAGCAGAGUGACAGAUGAGAUGAGGUAGGUGCCAUCCUUCCAGCAGGGUGACAGAUGAGAUGAGGUAGGUGCCAUCCUUCCAGCAGAGUGACAGAUGAGAUGAGGUAGGUGCCAUCCUUCGGUCAGGGUGACAGAUGAGAUGAGGUAGGUGCCAUCCUUCCAGCAGAGUGACAGAUGAGAUGAGGUAGGUGUCAUUCUUCCAGCAGCAUGACAGAUGAUAUGAG